rnacentral:rRNA from 1 species
GACGAACGCUGGCGGCGUGCUUAACACAUGCAAGUCGAGCGGCAAGGCCCUUUCGGGGGUACACGAGCGGCGAACGGGUGAGUAACACGUGGGUGACCUGCCCUCAGCUCUGGGAUAAGCCUGGGAAACCGGGUCUAAUACUGGAUAUGACUCCAUGGCGCAUGUUGUGGGGUGGAAAGCCUUGUGCGGCUGAGGAUGGGCCCGCGGCCUAUCAGCUUGNGGUGGGGUGAUGGCCUACCAAGGCGACGACGGGUAGCCGGCCUGAGAGGGCGACCGGCCACACUGGGACUGAGACACGGCCCAGACUCCUACGGGAGGCAGCAGUGGGGAAUCUUGCGCAAUGGGCGAAAGCCUGACGCAGCGACGCCGCGUGAGGGAUGACGGCCUGGU